rnacentral:tRNA from 1 species
AAAAAUUUAGUUAAAAAAUAACAUUAGCCUGUCAAGCUAAAAUUAAUGUUUCAUUAAUUUUUA